rnacentral:lncRNA from 7 species
AUAGGCAAGGUGAAGAGAGGUGAAACAGUGAGCUCAAGGCAAAAUGGUAAAGUGAAAGCAGAGCACUGGAGUCCAUUUCAGUGUCAUCACGAUGAGCCGAGCCAAUGUGAAUGUGCAGAUUUAUAAUGAAGUGCCAGGGAAGAAGUUUCUCUGGAGAUCCAUCCAGCCAUGGACUGUUUUGUUUUUUUCUUCAAACCUCAUCUGCUGGAGAUGGCUCCUUUUGAUAAACGAACUCAAAUCCAAGAAGCAUGGGGCAGAAUGUCCUCUAGGCUCAAUAGCAAUGAGCACAGAGAAGAUGCUGUUCCUUGCACCCAGGGCUUGGAGACAAAGCCGGGAAGGAAUUGAAGAGUUGGGGCACACCAGGCAGCUGGAGGAAUGCUCCAAGCUCCCCAAACCCAAUCCAUCCCCUUCAUGCCUCUUCUGAGGUGCUCCAAACUGUCUGAAGUGACCCUGGAAUGGACCCUCCAACCAUCAUGCAUCUGCGUGUGCAUGGCCACCAAUCUAAAUUAACCCUUUUACAUUGUUAUAUAUGGAACUUUUGGAUCAAGAGCAUGACAAAUUCAUUUCUGAGCUUGGUUAAAAGAUUAAUAACCUUUCAGCUGGCUAAAUGAAUAACACAGAUCUUGAGCAAGCAGCACUUGACCUUUUGCUGCUUUCCCACCCUGCAGUACCUGCCACAGGGAAAUGCUUGGCCAGAGAU